GAUGAACGCUGGCGGCGUGCCUAAUACAUGCAAGUCGAGCGAACAGAUGAGGAGCUUGCUCCUCUGACGUUAGCGGCGGACGGGUGAGUAACACGUGGAUAACCUACCUAUAAGACUGGGAUAACUUCGGGAAACCGGAGCUAAUACCGGAUAAUAUAUUGAACCGCAUGGUUCAAUAGUGAAAGACGGUUUUGCUGUCACUUAUAGAUGGACCCGCGCCGCAUUAGCUAGUUGGUAAGGUAACGGCUUACCAAGGCAACGAUGCGUAGCCGACCUGAGAGGGUGAUCGGCCACACUGGAACUGAGACACGGCCCAGACUCCUACGGGAGGCAGCAGUAGGGAAUCUGCCGCAAUGGGCGAAAGCCUGACGGAGCAACGCGGCGUGAGUGAUGAAGGUCUUCGGUUCGUAAAACUCUGUUAUUAGGGAAGAACAAAUGUGUAAGUAACUAUGCACGUCUUGACGGUACCUAAGCAGAAAGCCACGGCUAACUACGG
rnacentral:rRNA from 1 species